rnacentral:rRNA from 1 species
AUUGAACGCUGGCGGCAUGCCUUACACAUGCAAGUCGAACGGCAGCGGACCUUCGGGUGCCGGCGAGUGGCGAACGGGUGAGUAAUGUAUCGGAACGUACCAUUGAGUGGGGGAUAACGUAGCGAAAGUUACGCUAAUACCGCAUAUUCUCUCCGGAGGAAAGCAGGGGACCGCAAGGCCUUGCGCUCUUUGAGCGGCCGAUAUCAGAUUAGCUAGUUGGUGAGGUAAAGGCUCACCAAGGCGACGAUCUGUAGCGGGUCUGAGAGGAUGAUCCGCCACACUGGAACUGAGACACGGUCCAGACUCCUACGGGAGGCAGCAGUGGGGAAUUUUGGACAAUGGGGGCAACCCUGAUCCAGCCAUGCCGCGUGAGUGAAGAAGGCCUUCGGGUUGUAAAGCUCUUUCGGCCGGGAAAAAAUCGCAUGGGCUAAUACCCUGUGUGGAUGAUGGUACCGGAAUAAGAAGCACCGGCUAACUACGUGCCAGCCGCCGCCGUAA